rnacentral:misc_RNA from 1 species
UCUUUAUUAACAGUUUUCUGCUCUGCUAAUCUCCCUUGUUGAAUCACUAAAGCAUCAAGUGCAAGCUUUUUAUAUGCCCUCUCGAUAACUUUUUCCUCAAUGGUAUACUCUGUGCAAAAUCGGAACACUUGAACUUCUUUCUUCUGACCAAUCCUAUGAGCACGAUCCUGUGCUUGCAAAUCAACUUGUGGAUUCCAAUCACUAUCAUAAAGUAUGACAACAUCUGCAGUAGCAAGAUUAAUCCCAAGUCCUCCUGCUCUAGUUGACAAUAAGAAAACGAAUUUCUCACUCCCUGGCUUGUUGAAAGCAUCAAUGGAAGCAUCACGAUCUUCUCCACCAGUAUUGCCAUCAAUCCGACAAUACAGAUAGCCACGAAACAUUAAGUAGUCUUCAAGAAUGUCAAGCAACCUAGUCAUCUGUGAAAAUAUCAAAACCCU